rnacentral:rRNA from 1 species
UGCCAGCAGCCGCGGUAAUACGGAGGGUACAAACGUUGCUCGGAAUCACUGGGCAUAAAGCGCGCGUAGGCGGUCUACCCAGUUGGGUGUGAAAGCCCUCGGCUCAACCGAGGAAUUGCAUUCAAUACUAGUAGACUUGAGAAUGGUAGGGGUGUGUGGAACUUCAGGUGGAGCGGUGAAAUGCGUAGAUAUCUGAAGGAACACCUGUGGCGAAAGCGGCACACUGGGCCAUUACUGACGCUGAGGCGCGAAAGCCAGGGUAGCGAACGGGAUUAGAUA